rnacentral:rRNA from 1 species
UGAAACCGUGUGCUUACAAGUAGUCAGAGCCCGUUAAUGGGUGAUGGCGUGCCUUUUGUAGAAUGAACCGGCGAGUUACGAUUUGAUGCAAGGUUAAGCAGUAAAUGUGGAGCCGUAGCGAAAGCGAGUCUGAAUAGGGCGUUUAGUAUUUGGUCGUAGACCCGAAACCAGGUGAUCUACCCUUGGUCAGGUUGAAGUUCAGGUAACACUGAAUGGAGGACCGAACCGACUUACGUUGAAAAGUGAGCGGAUGAACUGAGGGUAGCGGAGAAAUUCCAAUCGAACCUGGAGAUAGCUGGUUCUCUCCGAAAUAGCUUUAGGGCUAGCCUCAAGUGAUGAUUAUUGGAGGUAGAGCACUGUUUGGACGAGGGGCCCCUCUCGGGUUACCGAAUUCAGACAAACUCCGAAUGCCAAUUAAUUUAACUUGGGAGUCAGAACAUGGGUGAUAAGGUCCGUGUUCGAAAGGGAAACAGCCCAGACCACCAGCUAAGGUCCCAAAAUAUAUGUUAAGUGGAAAAGGAUGUGGCGUUGCCCAGACAACUAGGAUGUUGGCUUAGAAGCAGCCAUCAUUUAAAGAGUGCGUAAUAGCUCACUAGUCGAGUGACACUGCGCCGAAAAUGUACCGGGGCUAAACAUAUUACCGAAGCUGUGGAUUGUCCUUUGGACAAUGGUAGGAGAGCGUUCUAAGGGCGUUGAAGCAUGAUCGUAAGGACAUGUGGAGCGCUUAGAAGUGAGAAUGCCGGUGUGAGUAGCGAAAGACGGGUGAGAAUCCCGUCCACCGAUUGACUAAGGUUUCCAGAGGAAGGCUCGUCCGCUCUGGGUUAGUCGGGUCCUAAGCUGAGGCCGACAGGCGUAGGCGAUGGAUAACAGGUUGAUAUUCCUGUACCACCUAUAAUCGUUUUAAUCGAUGGGGGGACGCAGUAGGAUAGGCGAAGCGUGCGAUUGGAUUGCACGUCUAAGCAGUAAGGCUGAGUAUUAGGCAAAUCCGGUACUCGUUAAGGCUGAGCUGUGAUGGGGAGAAGACAUUGUGUCUUCGAGUCGUUGAUUUCACACUGCCGAGAAAAGCCUCUAGAUAGAAAAUAGGUGCCCGUACCGCAAACCGACACAGGUAGUCAAGAUGAGAAUUCUAAGGUGAGCGAGCGAACUCUCGUUAAGGAACUCGGCAAAAUGACCCCGUAACUUCGGGAGAAGGGGUGCUCUUUAGGGUUAACGCCCAGAAGAGCCGCAGUGAAUAGGCCCAAGCGACUGUUUAUCAAAAACACAGGUCUCUGCUAAACCGUAAGGUGAUGUAUAGGGGCUGACGCCUGCCCGGUGCUGGAAGGUUAAGAGGAGUGGUUAGCUUCUGCGAAGCUACGAAUCGAAGCCCCAGUAAACGGCGGCCGUAACUAUAACGGUCCUAAGGUAGCGAAAUUCCUUGUCGGGUAAGUUCCGACCCGCACGAAAGGCGUAACGAUUUGGGCACUGUCUCAACGAGAGACUCGGUGAAAUCAUAGUACCUGUGAAGAUGCAGGUUACCCGCGACAGGACGGAAAGACCCCGUGGAGCUUUACUGUAGCCUGAUAUUGAAAUUCGGCACAGCUUGUACAGGAUAGGUAGGAGCCUUUGAAACGUGAGCGCUAGCUUACGUGGAGGCGCUGGUGGGAUACUACCCUAGCUGUGUUGGAUUUCUAACCCGCACCACUUAUCGUGGUGGGAGACAGUGUCAGGCGGGCAGUUUGACUGGGGCGGUCGCCUCCUAAAAGGUAACGGAGGCGCUCAAAGGUUCCCUCAGAAUGGUUGGAAAUCAUUCAUAGAGUGUAAAGGCAUAAGGGAGCUUGACUGCGAGACCUACAAGUCGAGCAGGGUCGAAAGACGGACUUAGUGAUCCGGUGGUUCCGCAUGGAAGGGCCAUCGCUCAACGGAUAAAAGCUACCCCGGGGAUAACAGGCUUAUCUCCCCCAAGAGUUCACAUCGACGGGGAGGUUUGGCACCUCGAUGUCGGCUCAUCGCAUCCUGGGGCUGUAGUCGGUCCCAAGGGUUGGGCUGUUCGCCCAUUAAAGCGGUACGCGAGCUGGGUUCAGAACGUCGUGAGACAGUUCGGUCCCUAUCCGUCGUGGGCGUAGGAAAUUUGAGAGGAGCUGUCCUUAGUACGAGAGGACCGGGAUGGACAUACCUCUGGUGUACCAGUUGUCGUGCCAACGGCAUAGCUGGGUAGCUAUGUGUGGACGGGAUAAGUGCUGAAAGCAUCUAAGCAUGAAGCCCCCCUCAAGAUGAGAUUUCCCAACUUCGGUUAUAAGAUCCCUCAAAGA